CGUACAUUUGGGACCCAACCAAAGGCAAAGGGCAAGCAAAUCAAAUUCAAGCUAAAGCAUAAACAAAUCAACGAACGACCAGUGUUGAGUGCAGAGAGAACACAAAAUACACAAGAAUACCAGAAGAAUGAGUAAAACUGAUGAGUAACAGCAACAAGUGCAUCAAAACUUGAAGCAAAUAUCACAUAUGGAACCCAAUAAAUUGUCCAAAGCCAUUCCUUCUCCCCUUAGAGCCCAGCGGAAUAUGACAGUGGUCCCCGAGUGGGUUGAGCUCUGGCACAGUGGCAUGGGGCAUGGCCAAUAAUGAGAACUUCCUACGGAAAGUUAAUACAGUUCUUAUGCCAAAAGUUUCACCAAGCCAUAGCCAAGGGGCAAAAUGUAACUCCCACUCCAGCCGCAGGUCUCUCCCCGCUAAUUAUUGGAAGGGUAGGACCAGAAAGAGCGGAACAAGUGCAGCUGGGGACACAUUUGACACAGUUUGACCAAGCGUAACAAACCGCGUUUAUCAAAUGGAACUCGAUUUGGUUUUGGUUUCGGUUUCCGUUUCGGUUUCGGUUCUGACUGUUGACGUGUCCGAAAAAUAAUAACACUCCCCCCAGCGGGAGCAGCAACCCACCACACCACCACCCCACCACCCCACUGACCCAAGCAGCCAAGCGACCCAUCAGCAUUUCCGCUCUAAUGAAAUUCUAUGCAAGAUGCAGUGCAGGUAGAGAGGGACAAACGCUCUGUGCUUCCUGCCUUUGUAUUUAUCUCUAACUUGUUUAAGCUGGCGUUUGACCUCCUUUACGAGGGCUUAACACCCGGAAUAUGCUUUCAAAGUAUUAUAAGCAUGGAAACAAAGGAUGUUCCUGCGGUUAUCGAUUAAAAAUCGAUACAGCAACAAAAUUAAA